rnacentral:rRNA from 1 species
GACGAACGCUGGCGGCGUGCUUAACACAUGCAAGUCGAACGGAAAGGCCCUGCUUUUGUGGGGUGCUCGAGUGGCGAACGGGUGAGUAACACGUGAGUAACCUGCCCUUGACUUUGGGAUAACUUCAGGAAACUGGGGCUAAUACCGGAUAGGAGCUCCUGCUGCAUGGUGGGGGUUGGAAAGUUUCGGCGGUUGGGGAUGGACUCACGGCUUAUCAGCUUGUUGGUGGGGUAGUGGCUUACCAAGGCUUUGACGGGUAGCCGGCCUGAGAGGGUGGCCGGCCACAUUGGGACUGAGAUACGGCCCAGACUCCUACGGGAGGCAGCAGUGGGGAAUAUUGCACAAUGGGCGGAAGCCUGAUGCAGCAACGCCGCGUGCGGGAUGACGGCCUUCGGGUUGUAAACCGCUUUCGCCUGUGACGAAGCGUGAGUGACGGUAAUGGGUAAAGAAGCACCGGCUAACUACGUGCCAGCAGCCGCGGUGAUACGUAGGGUGCGAGCGUUGUCCGGAUUUAUUGGGCGUAAAGGGCUCGUAGGUGGUUGAUCGCGUCGGAAGUGUAAUCUUGGGGCUUAACCCUGAGCGUGCUUUCGAUACGGGUUGACUUGAGGAAGGUAGGGGAGAAUGGAAUUCCUGGUGGAGCGGUGGAAUGCGCAGAUAUCAGGAGGAACACCAGUGGCGAAGGCGGUUCUCUGGGCCUUUCCUGACGCUGAGGAGCGAAAGCGUGGGGAGCGAACAGGCUUAGAUACCCUGGUAGUCCACGCUGUAAACGGUGGGUACUAGGUGUGGGGUCCAUUCCACGGGUUCCGUGCCGUAGCUAACGCUUUAAGUACCCCGCCUGGGGAGUACGGCCGCAAGGCUAAAACUCAAAGGAAUUGACGGGGCCCCGCACAAGCGGCGGAGCAUGCGGAUUAAUUCGAUGCAACGCGUAGAACCUUACCUGGGUUUGACAUGGAUCGGGAGUGCUCAGAGAUGGGUGUGCCUCUUUUGGGGUCGGUUCACAGGUGGUGCAUGGCUGUCGUCAGCUCGUGUCGUGAGAUGUUGGGUUAAGUCCCGCAACGAGCGCAACCCUUGUUCACUGUUGCCAGCACGUUAUGGUGGGGACUCAGUGGAGACCGCCGGGGUCAACUCGGAGGAAGGUGGGGAUGACGUCAAGUCAUCAUGCCCCUUAUGUCCAGGGCUUCACGCAUGCUACAAUGGCUGGUACAGAGAGUGGCGAGCCUGUGAGGGUGAGCGAAUCUCGGAAAGCCGGUCUCAGUUCGGAUUGGGGUCUGCAACUCGACCUCAUGAAGUCGGAGUCGCUAGUAAUCGCAGAUCAGCAACGCUGCGGUGAAUACGUUCCCGGG